UCGAGUUCAGAAGCGAGGUUGUAGCUGGCCUUCUCGGAGGCAUCGUGCACGCCUCGCCCGUCCCAUAUCAUACCUGUGAACUUUUUGGUAGGCGGGUUUGUGUCGGCCUCGAAAGGGGUCGACCGGCCCUCCGGCCGUCUUUAUAUACACACCAUACGAAGUCUUUAGAAUGUUUGUGCGUCUCGACGCAUCUUAUAUAUAACUUUCAGCGACGGAUCUCUUGGCUCUCGCAUCGAUGAAGAACGCAGCGAAACGCGAUAAGUAAUGUGAAUUGCAGAAUUCAGUGAAUCAUCGAAUCUUUGAACGCACCUUGCGCUCCUCGGUAUUCCGAGGAGCAUGCCUGUUUGAGUGUCAUGA
rnacentral:misc_RNA from 1 species